rnacentral:lncRNA from 1 species
UCGACUCUUACAAGUUGGGAGGAAGUUGAAAGUGAGUCAUCAGGUGACACAGCUACUGAUGAUGACUUGGUCAUGUCGAAGAACUCCUUGUCCACAUUGGUCCUCAUGUUGGCUGAUGUCGCCACAUACUGCACGCCCCUCUCUUCUGCUUUGCUCCUGGGCUCCUCGACGGGUACCUGCCUCCGCUCCUCCAAGUCAGACUUGUUUCCCACGACCUGCAAUGGAAUUUUAUCCUCUUCAGCCUUCACUCGGAGGAUCUGUUCCCUGAACUCAGCAGUCGCUGUGAAGGAUUCGUGUUCUGUGAUUGAAAACACAACCAGAAAUCCUUCCCCACUCCAGAAGUAGUUGUCUCGAAUGGCGGCAUAGUCUUCUUGUCCAGCUGUGUCCAGAAUAUCGAUCUGGACUUCUUUGCCAUCAAGAACCACUUUCUUUCUGUAACUGUCAGCUUCGGUAGGUUCAUAGUCUUCUACAAACUCGUCACACAUGAACUGAAGCACCAGGGCCAACUUGCCGACACUCCACUGCCGACCAUGAUCACUUUGUGCAGGGCCAAGCUGCUCUGGCCCUUGCUCUUGUUUGCAGCCAUCCUGCCUGUUUUCUGAGGUGGUGACGCACAGACAGAAGACCCAGGUGGAGAGCUGGGACCCCUCCCAUGCGACCUUGCUGCCUCACCAGUCUGCACUGGCCCUCCACUCUUAAGCGCGUCCCGCCCCCUCCUGGGCCAGACCCCUUGGCAAUUUCAGUCUUAAUGAUUUACUAGGUAAGCAUCACAGGAAAUGCUAAGUUUCUGUCAUCUGUUGAAUUCUUGCC